CCUACGGGACGCAGCAGUGGGGAAUAUUGCACAAUGGGGGGAACCCUGAUGCAGCGACGCCGCGUGAGUGAAGAAGUAUUUCGGUAUGUAAAGCUCUAUCAGCAGGGAAGAAAAUGACGGUACCUGACUAAGAAGCCCCGGCUAACUACGUGCCAGCAGCCGCGGUAAUACGUAGGGGGCAAGCGUUAUCCGGAUUUACUGGGUGUAAAGGGAGCGUAGACGGACGUGCAAGUCUGAUGUGAAAGUCCGCGGCCCAACUGCGGGACUGCUUUGGAAACUG
rnacentral:rRNA from 1 species